rnacentral:rRNA from 1 species
AUGAACGCUGGCGGCGUGCCUAAUACAUGCAAGUCGAGCGAACGGACGAGAAGCUUGCUUUUCUGAUGUUAGCGGCGGACGGGUGAGUAACACGUGGAUAACCUACCUAUAAGACUGGGAUAACUUCGGGAAACCGGAGCUAAUACCGGAUAAUAUUUUGAACCGCAUGGUUCAAAAGUGAAAGACGGUCUUGCUGUCACUUAUAGAUGGAUCCGCGCUGCAUUAGCUAGUUGGUAAGGUAACGGCUUACCAAGGCAACGAUGCAUAGCCGACCUGAGAGGGUGGUCGGCCACCCUGGAACUGAGACACGGUCCAGACUCCUACGGGAGGAAGCAGUAGGGAAUCUUCCGCAAUGGACGAAAGCCUGACGGAGCAACGCCGCGUGAGUGAUGAAGGUCUUCGGAUCGUAAAACUCUGUUAUUAGGGAAGAACAUAUGUGUAAGUAACUGUGCACAUCUUGACGGUACCUAAUCAGAAAGCCACGGCUAACUACGUG